rnacentral:piRNA from 1 species
UUCUUAUGCAGGUAAAACAAACAAACAAAC